CAACAAAAUGCCUUGGUUCUCCAGAAGGUACAUUCCUUGAGAAUCAUAGAUAGAGAAGGUCUUCUAUGUUAUUAUUUUAGCUGAAAGUAAGCCCAGAGCCUUUAAGUUGAAAGUGGCAGAGACAAAAUUUGGAAUCACAUGCAGAUUUAUAUAUUGAUCUAGAGGAAACUGCAGUUUUCUCAAGAGAUACUGGUCAUAGAAUCCUAGCAACCAUAAAGUACUUAAAAUUCUUUUACAGCUACUUUAUGGUAGCCUAAAUUGACUUAAUAGAGCACUAUCAAAUCAAUUCAUUCUCUUAACUCUUAGGACUGCAUUAUCUUGAUUUGAAUUGUUGGUAAACCAGGCCAUCCAGUAAUUAGAGGGAUGCAUGGUGUAUGAUAUAUUAUCCAUAAGACCUGCCACCUGAAGAAAGGAGACAGUUGUAUGAAAGAAAUUUUGAAUGGAGCUCUCCAUAAAUUGGACACCACUGAAUGAAUAUUAAGUUCUAUUCCGGUGCAAGAAAUUGUAUAUAAGGACAGUGGCCCAACUGAAAAAGAUGCACAGCAUUCAAAUUAUUAGCUCAAUAAGACAGAUAUUCAUAGAGAAAAUUUUAGGGUCAAGCUUCAAAAUGGUUUCAUCACCACAAGGUGAUGGAUUUUCUUCAGUAGAUGUUCACUGCCAAG
rnacentral:lncRNA from 1 species